UACGGAGGAUGCGAGCGUUAUCCGGAUUUAUUGGGUUUAAAGGGUGCGCAGGCGACACGGCAAGCCGGCGGUCAAAUCGCGGGGCUCAACCCCGCCCAGCCGUCGGAACUGCCGGGCUAGAGUGGGCGAGAAGUGCGCGGAAUGCGUGGUGUAGCGGUGAAAUGCAUAGAUAUCACGCAGAACUCCGAUUGCGAAGGCAGCGCACCGGCGCCCUACUGACGCUCAGGCACGAAAGCGUGGGUAUCGAACAGG
rnacentral:rRNA from 1 species